UACGUAGGGGGCGAGCGUUGUCCGGAUUUAUUGGGCGUAAAGAGCGUGUAGGCGGCUUGGUAGGUCUCGCGUCAAAACCUGAGGCUCAACCUCAGUUCGCGUGGGAAACCACCUAGCUAGAGUCCGGAAGAGGAGAACGGAAUUCCCAGUGUAGCGGUGAAAUGCGCAGAUAUUGGGAGGAACACCAGCGGCGAAGGCGGCACUCUGGGCUGGAACUGACGCUGAGGAGCGAAAGCGUGGGUAGCAAACAGG
rnacentral:rRNA from 1 species